rnacentral:rRNA from 1 species
UACGUAGGGGGCAAGCGUUGUCCGGAUUUAUUGGGCGUAAAGAGCGUGUAGGCGCCAGACAGGUCCGUUGUGAAAACUCGAGGCUCAACCUCGAGACGUCGAUGGAAACCGUCUGGCUAGAGUCCGGAAGAGGAGAGUGGAAUUCCUGGUGUAGCGGUGAAAUGCGCAGAUAUCAGGAAGAACACCCGUGGCGAAGGCGGCUCUCUGGGACGGUACUGACGCUGAGACGGCGAAAGCGUGGGGAGCGAACAGG